CCCCUGAGCCCCAGCUGAUUUGCAUGAACAGCUAGAGGAUAAGAGAGGCCUGGGAUGAAUCCAGCCAGGCUAUAGAACUUGGAGAGUAGAAUCAGGGCAUCUCCACCAUGGCCUGGACUCCUCUCCUUCUUGGCCUCCUUGCUCACUGCACUGGUUCUGUGGCCUCCUAUGUGCUGACUCAGCCUCCAUCUGUGUCAGUGGCUCUGGGACAGACAGCCCAGGUCACCUGUGGGGGAAACAACAUUG